CUCUUUAUCAAGCAAGAGCUUUCAAAUUUCCCUUUACCUUGCGUACUAUAGGUGAGUGAAACACGCUACCAUUACCAUUACUAAGCAGUACUGACUCAUCGUAACUGUUUAAUCUUUGAUGUUUUGCUUUCACAAUUAACAUUAAUCUGUGGUGUGUCUUCUGAUUGUUUUCUGAAUACUUGUAUAUUAUUCUUUGUUUUGCACUAUUACCCGUAUUGCCUGGGUCCAGAUGGGCCCGCAUUAUCUUGUAAAUCAAUAUUAAUAAUUGCAGGCACAAUGCUAAGGUGAUUUUGCUGUGAUGUUUGGUAAAGUAUAGCUGGUUAGUAAUGUUCCAGCUUCAAGCAAAGGUAGGAUGCCUUAAGAGUGAUUGUGCUCUGAAGACAGUUGAUUCAACCUCAUGUGUGUCUUUUCUUAUGCAUUGUUGCAGCUACGAGAUGGCACUGGGAAAGAAGGAGAAAAAUGUGAUGUGCGAAAAAACAUAUUUCUUCACUUUUGCCUGACAUUCGACAUGGAACCCAAUAUAUUUUUAAUAUUUUUUCAUAACCUUCUCGCUUAAGUUGCUUGAUAAUCUGCAGUGAAUUUUUUCCGAGAAAUGUUGGUGUAAUCUGUGGUGUGUCUUUUAUAUUUGAACUUUUCAAGGUUGCCAUGUUCAAUAACUAGACUUUCUUUAAGUGAUUCACUUAAAGGAAACCUUUUAUCUAGUGCAGAUGCACAAAUAAUCGAGUAGAAGGCCGGCACCAUAGCUCAGCAUGUAGAGUAAUAGUGCCUUAUGUGUUGUAUGGAGCAUAGCUUCCCACAGAAACCACUAGCGGUAAUUCCAGCACUAGUGCGUAUUGGAGCUGCAAGUAGGGUGGCUGAGUGGGCAUCGCAGUCAUCAUUGCUGAUGAAUUUGCCUAAACAUCAUCCUCCUCGCUUCAAGGCAGAUAUGUACAUAGAUUCCCUUGCAUUCAGAUUCAGUCACCUCUAGGUAUUUUUAUAGGAAACUUACUGUAUGGAGGUUGUGAAUUCGGCUCGUGUGAGCAAGCUUUUCUAAUUUCAUGUCUAUAUAUUAUUCCUACGUUAAAAAACACUUAAUUUUCCUCUUGGUUUCAUUAUCUGUUCGUUUAAUGGGGAUUGCUUCUGAGAAAACGAAUGCCCCGAUUCUUCUCACUCGCAGUUGAAGUUUGAUCUCUUGCUUUGUUUUCAGGGGGAGCCAUCAAAGUUCAAUGGGGGCCUGUACCCUCCCAUCUGGUCCACAAGACACUGCCUUCUACAAAGAGCCGCAAAAGCAGUGUGCCCUUGUUCUGUCCAUCUCGCAUGUUCCGCAAAACCAGGAUGUCCAUAACCCUGAUCUGAAAUAACCAUGGUCAGCUGAUGAUCCUGUGAUUUAGCGAACUCCUCUGCAGAGAACAGGGCUCACAUUAGUGAAAGGUCAUUUUCAAGUGUGGCAAGUCUUCGAGUGGGAAACGCUGUCCACGGUACAGACCUUUACGGAACAAGCCUUCAAGCAGCGGCCACAUGCAAUGCAGCUCUGUACGAAGCAAGUCAUAAGACAAAGGAUGAUGGGCUCUAUGGGGAUCUUGCCCACCAGAUGUAUGACGUGACAGCUCCCAGUUUGAGCACACCACUUGAGCUGCAAGGCACAACGGUCGAGAGAAACAGCAACAAGGAUGCAGUUACGAGGCCACCAGACAGCUCCAUGCCUUGCACAGACCAGCAACAGCCGCGAAAUAGAUACGACAAGCGGCGGUGGCGCCGUGAUGCGUGCCCACUCUCGGCUACCAGCAAGUUCCGUUUAACGCCACACUUUUCGAAGCACUAUAACCAGAGAUGUUUCAGCUGCACCGUCUGCGCGAAAGCAUUUUCCAAAAGCGUUCACCUGAUCGACCACAUGCGCACGCACACGGGAGAGAGACCGUUCAGGUGCAACAUCUGCCUGCGUCAGUUUACGCAGAAGUCUGCGAUGGUGCGUCACAGGUUGCAGGUGCACAAGCAGGGCAAGGACGACCAAGGCGGAGCAUCACUUCAUGUGCUUCACUUGUAGCAGCACCCAAGAUUUUUGGCAGUUUCUGCAAGAGAGAAUCUCUCGUUGAAGAGAGCUCUCAAAAGUGUGACUGUAAAGUACAGUUCUUCUUGUUGGUGUGAGUGAUACUGCAUAGCUCCGCAAUCUCUCUGGCAAGUUGGUGUCUACAUUGUUGCCAGUUUUGUGAGCCUUGCGAAACGCUUUAAUAACCAGAAAGAGAUUCUCCAGACGUAUUUUGCUGUGGUCGCAUCAGUGAUGCCCCAGCCCCUUCCCACCUUCUCCAAGUUCUACUACCCAAAGAACUUCACAAGUUCAUUCACUUACCUGGACAGAAAUAAUAUAUCACCUGUGUGCUUUUGUUUCAGAUUACAUUAUGUCUUUUUACUUGCUAUACUGUGAACCUGUGGCCUACAAAAUUAUGCUCUCAACUGUACAUUAACUAUUGUGAGAUCGAAACCUCAUUUUGAGCGAAACUAAGAGGCCACUAUGAUGUAUAGAGGCUGUUGCCAGAUGCCAGGCAUCAACAGUGUACGUGAAUUUGUAAAGUUUGCAGCCACUAGUCAGUUGUGUUGGCAGGGUACUGUAGAUUUUCAGUGGUGCCACCUAUUUGACGUUCCACUUAACACACUUGCAAUUUGUUUCAAGUCACUAGGCUAGUCUUGUUAUGGGCAGCAAGUUAUUCCCAUUGAUGGCAUGUGAUUGUCAGUGUAUGAUAUCAGUGGCAGGUUAUCGUUGCAUAUUAACUGAAACUGCAUGGUAAGUUGCACCUAUACCAGCAAAAUAUCAUGCUUGUUGCACGCAUCUCUUGUUUUAUUUUGUUGCAUCAGCACUAUGGAACAUUAUUCAGAGACAAUUAAUACUUGUUUAAUUAUCAUAACCUAUGAUAACAACCAUCUAGUCCAGACAGCAAAUAGCUUACUAUUUAUGAAGCAUUUAUUUGCAGCCAUAUUAUGCUUAUGUAUUUUACAUAAUCCAUGCACUGAAAAUUGCAGAUUAAUUAUGCUAACGACCAUGUAAUGGAAAGUGGGUUUCCAUCUGGCAUAGUGAAGAAGUCUAGGUUGGCAGGUUUUUUGGAAGCUCCAAACAUUAAAAAAAAACUAAAUCUGCCAUUUUAGGCUAGCCUUUUACUUUAAGCUUAUGUCUCCUGCAGAGUUUUUUUUAUUUUUGAGGAACAAGAUGUCGCGUGGCGAGGUUCUUUUCUGAAGGACUUUCUUCUCUCCCUUACUCUGCUUUUUUAAUUUUUAAUGCUUUGGUGUCUUUGUAAAAAGAACUACAACUCUUAAAUCAUUGGAAGCAGCCACUUAUCAUGCUGCCAGUAGGUGUUCCUAUGUGAUCAAUGAAAAUCUGUAUUUCAUAGAACCCAGGAACCUGUUUUGCGUGCUGUCUCUUUCUGUAUGUACUUGUGUCGUGCCAAGUAAUUUUUUAUCAGGAGCGGCAGUGUCUCACUCAUUUAAAGUCUAGCUGCCAGGGGAUUCUUGAAAACUGGGUAUGACGUUCCCUUGUUCAGGCACACUCUGUUCAUAGUAACGAGAACUUAAUUAUGAACUAGGGGAAAUUGCAACAAAACUUUAGGGAACACUACAUGUAAGGAACAGCGCCAUCAGUAACUGUUGACGAGAGAGCAUCAUCAUGAUGUGAGAGUGCCCACACCUAGAUAUGCUUUAUUUCCUUCACAAUUACAUUUUGUGGCGUGCUCAUGUGCUGCUGAACUCUGGUGUGGGCCGGAUCCUUGUCUGCAGCUUUUGCGGCUUUUUUUUUCCCAUCGCCCCCAUGUUUCUCGUGGAGAAAUGAAAAUUCCUUUGAUUGAUCCACUAGGCAAAAGCAUUUCAAUUGUCCAUGUUCCAAGCAUUCUUUCGUUACUGACAUCCCCAUGUUCUUACCGUUUGACUGAACGAUAUUAGGCCUGUUUUGGCUGUGUUGAUUGAGAUACCAGUUAGAGAUAAUAAAAAGGCCCGGAAAGACAAAAUUAACAAGGAAAGGAAAAAGUUUAUGGUAGUCCAAAUUUGUUAGUUGUGCUUUACUAAAACUGUGCAUGGUGCACAAGCACAAUGUCUACUCAUCUGCAACUGAACAUAACCAUAGCCUGUCAUCCAGCCUUGCAUUUUUUAUUUUUUUUUUGCAUGCAGCUCCUUGUACUAAUCCACUAUUCUGAUUUGGACAAGUCCAUGGUUCCUAUAAGUUUGAGCAUAUGUGCAUUUCUUCUGUUAGAGCUGCAUGAAACACUGUGAUAAACCACAUCAAGGGAAGAUACGACUGCCUUGCUGAAGUUCACAUAACGUAUGUUAUAUACCAAAAACACGUAGCUGGUACGUAUUAAUCGAUGCAGUAAUGUAGCAAUGAGCACUCGCACAUUGGUGUAUUCGGUGUAGCUUGGCGAAUGUUAAAGGCACACUAAAGAGAAACAAUGAAUCAGUU